CUGCACUGUAUUCUUGGAUCAGUUAUACAGUCCGUAAGGUGUCGGGGAUUGUUAUGAGAUUAUAGCUGCUGGGGAGGCCCUGGUGACACAGUUUGUGACAUUGUGGGAAGGACACGGUGAACAGAGAAGUGAAUUUCGGGCCUGAGCUGGUAUCUUCCUGGCAGUCUCUCUCAUGUUACUAUUUACAUAUGGCCGGGACUGCUUGCUCGUAUAUCCUGCUGUCACAGAUCCAAAUAUAGCUCUAUAACUGAAUCCCUGCAGGGUCUGCAAGGAUGACGUGUGGGCCUGUAUCCAGCAGUCUGCUUGCAGGGUAAUAACGCCCAGGCCAGCAUACCUGCCACUGUGAUCCUGGCACAGUGCCAACGUGCCUUGCAUUGUAUAGGGCUGGAAGCAGAGAGGCUUGUAUGGGCUGGGGGGGCUGAGAAUCCUGAU